CAGUCGAGCGGACAGAUGGGAGCUUGCUCCCUGAUGUUAGCGGCGGACGGGUGAGUAACACGUGGGUAACCUGCCUGUAAGACUGGGAUAACUCCGGGAAACCGGGGCUAAUACCGGAUGGUUGUUUGAACCGCAUGGUUCAGACAUAAAAGGUGGCUUCGGCUACCACUUACAGAUGGACCCGCGGCGCAUUAGCUAGUUGGUGAGGUAACGGCUCACCAAGGCGACGAUGCGUAGCCGACCUGAGAGGGUGAUCGGCCACACUGGGACUGAGACACGGCCCAGACUCCUACGGGAGGCAGCAGUAGGGAAUCUUCCGCAAUGGACGAAAGUCUGACGGAGCAACGCCGCGUGAGUGAUGAAGGUUUUCGGAUCGUAAAGCUCUGUUGUUAGGGAAGAACAAGUGCCGUUCAAAUAGGGCGGCACCUUGACGGUACCUAACCAGAAAGCCACGGCUAACUACGUGCCAGCAGCCGCGGUAAUACGUAGGUGGCAAGCGUUGUCCGGAAUUAUUGGGCGUAAAGGGCUCGCAGGCGGUUUCUUAAGUCUGAUGUGAAAGCCCCCGGCUCAACCGGGGAGGGUCAUUGGAAACUGGGGAACUUGAGUGCAGAAGAGGAGAGUGGAAUUCCACGUGUAGCGGUGAAAUGCGUAGAGAUGUGGAGGAACACCAGGUGGCGAAAGGCGACUCUCUGGUCUGUAACUGACGCUGAGGAGCGAAAG
rnacentral:rRNA from 1 species